GAUGAACGCUAGCGGCAGGCUUAAUACAUGCAAGUCGAGGGGCAGCACGGGUAGCAAUACCUGGUGGCGACCGGCAAACGGGUGCGGAACACGUACGCAACUUUCCCAAAACUGGUGAAUAGCCCUCCGAAAGGAGGAUUAAUACACCGUAACAUAAUGAAGUGGCAUCACUUUAUUAUUAUAGCUCCGGCGGUUUUGGAUGGGCGUGCGCCUGAUUAGGUAGUUGGCGGGGUAACGGCCCACCAAGCCUUCGAUCAGUAACUGGUGUGAGAGCACGACCAGUCACACGGGCACUGAGACACGGGCCCGACUCCUACGGGAGGCAGCAGUAAGGAAUAUUGGUCAAUGGACGCAAGUCUGAACCAGCCAUGCCGCGUGAAGGAUGAAGGUCCUCUGGAUUGUAAACUUCUUUUAUCUGGGACGAAAAAAGGGAAUUCUUUCUCACUUGACGGUACCAGAGGAAUAAGCACCGGCUAACUCCGUGCCAGCAGCCGCGGUAAU
rnacentral:rRNA from 1 species